rnacentral:rRNA from 1 species
AUUGAACGCUGGCGGCAUGCCUAACACAUGCAAGUCGAACGGUAACAGGAAACAGCUUGCUGUUUCGCUGACGAGUGGCGGACGGGUGAGUAAUUUCUGGGAAACUGCCUGAUGGAUGGGGAUAACUACUUGAAACUGUAGCUAAUACCGCAUAACGUCGCAAUACCAAAGAGUGGGACGUUCGGGCCUCUUGCCAUCGGAUGGGCCCAGAUGGGAUUGGCUAGUAGGUGGGGUAACGGCUCACCUAGGCGGCGUUCCCUAGCUGGUCGGAGAGGAUGACCAGCCACCCUGGAACGGAGACACGGUCCAGACUCCUGAGGGAGGGAGCAGUCGGGAAUAUUGGACAAUGGGCGGGAGCAUGAUGCAGCCAUGCCGAGUCUAUGAAGACGGCCUUCGGGUUGUAAAGUACUUUCAGCGGGGAGGAAGGGAGUAAGGUUAAUACCUUUGCUCAUUGACGUUACCCGCAGAAGAAGCACCGGCUAACUCCGUG